AUUGAACGCUGGCGGCAGGCCUAACACAUGCGUGUCGAGCGGAUGAAGGGAGCUUGCUCCUGGAUUCAGCGGCGGACGGGUGAGUAAUGCCUAGGAAUCUGCCUGGUAGUGGGGGAUAACGUCCGGAAACGGGCGCUAAUACCGCAUACGUCCUGAGGGAGAAAGUGGGGGAUCUUCGGACCUCACGCUAUCAGAUGAGCCUAGGUCGGAUUAGCUAGUUGGUGGGGUAAAGGCCUACCAAGGCGACGAUCCGUAACUGGUCUGAGAGGAUGAUCAGUCACACUGGAACUGAGACACGGUCCAGACUCCUACGGGAGGCAGCAGUGGGGAAUAUUGGACAAUGGGCGAAAGCCUGAUCCAGCCAUGCCGCGUGUGUGAAGAAGGUCUUCGGAUUGUAAAGCACUUUAAGUUGGGAGGAAGGGCAGUAAGUUAAUACCUUGCUGUUUUGACGUUACCAACAGAAUAAGCACCGGCUAACUUCGUG
rnacentral:rRNA from 1 species